CAGAGACGUAACCUAUAUUUACCUCGGCUGGAAAAAAUAGGGUUCUUCCUGCGAGCAUCGACAGUGGACUCCCCGGACAGAUAGCUGGGUAUUGACGCAUACUCUGACGUGAUCAAACCAAUCAGUGUCCAUGGAGAUAUGCCCCACCCACUAUGUUCAGAAAUGUUGUGUUUUCAGUGGAUGUGAGCAAGUUUGAGGUGUCUGGUCGUUUCCUGGGCAGGCAGAUAGAGAAGGUCUUCCAAGUGAGGGGAGCAAUAAAGGGAGUACUAAUAUGAUUUUGUGUUAUGUAGAAUACAUGCAUUCUUUGUCUUAUACCAGUUAAAGUGUUUUACUGCCCUCUCUUCUCCCCACACAGGACCUCCUUCAGCUGCAAUACGAGGGCCUGGCAAUCAUGAAGAUUGUUGGAAGGGCCAAAGUGAAUGUUAAUCUGCUCAUCUUCCUCAUAAUUAUAUGAACAAAAGGCAUCACAGCGUUAAAUUGGAUUUUCACUAGCAAAUUGCUUGCAUGUGUUCAUUGACAAUUUACUGUGCAUGUGAGCAUUUAUCAUUAUUAUUACCAGGAGAAGCCCUUGUUAUGCCUCGAGGCGUAGCCGCACGAGGGAUACGGUAAAGCUGACUGUGUGCGUGUGCGUGUGUCUGUGUGUCUGUUAUUGUUACCAAGGAGAAGCCCUUGUUAUUGCUAUGCUAUUGUC